rnacentral:rRNA from 1 species
GACGAACGCUGGCGGCGUGCUUAACACAUGCAAGUCGAACGGAAAGGCCCUGCUUGCCGGGUGCUCGAGUGGCGAACGGGUGAGUAACACGUGGGUGAUCUGCCCCUUACUUUGGGAUAAGCCUGGGAAACUGGGUCUAAUACUGGAUAGGACCAUACUGUAGGUGGUGUGGUGGAAAGAUUAGUUUCGGUAAGGGAUGAGCUCGCGGCCUAUCAGCUUGUUGGUGGGGUAAUGGCCUACCAAGGCGUCGACGGGUAGCCGGCCUGAGAGGGUGGACGGCCAGAUUGGGACUGAGAUACGGCCCAGACUCCUACGGGAGGCAGCAGUGGGGAAUAUUGCACAAUGGGCGCAAGCCUGAUGCAGCGACGCCGCGUGGGGGAUGACGGCCUUCGGGUUGUAAACUCCUUUCAGCCAUGACGAAGCCCUUGUGGUGACGGUAGUGGUAGAAGAAGCACCGGCUAACUACGUG